GACGAACGCUGGCGGCGUGCCUAAUACAUGCAAGUAGAACGCACAGUUUAUACCGUAGCUUGCUACACCAUAGACUGUGAGUUGCGAACGGGUGAGUAACGCGUAGGUAACCUGCCUGGUAGCGGGGGAUAACUAUUGGAAACGAUAGCUAAUACCGCAUAAUAUUAAUUAUUGCAUGAUAAUUAAUUGAAAGGUGCAAUUGCACCACUACCAGAUGGACCUGCGUUGUAUUAGCUAGUAGGUGAGGUAACGGCUCACCUAGGCGACGAUACAUAGCCGACCUGAGAGGGUGAUCGGCCACACUGGGACUGAGACACGGCCCAGACUCCUACGGGAGGCAGCAGUAGGGAAUCUUCGGCAAUGGACGAAAGUCUGACCGAGCAACGCCGCGUGAGUGAAGAAGGUUGUCGGAUCGUAAAGCUCGGUUGUAAGAGAAGAACGGGUGUGAGAGUGGAAAGUUCACACUGUGACGGUAUCUUACCAGAAAGAGACGGCUAACUACGUG
rnacentral:rRNA from 1 species